ACAUCUCCCAAUUUACAGGGCAUCAUAGUUUAAUCAGUUGUAUGUGGGUUUUUUGAUUUUGUUUUUUACUGAUAGAUAAAAAAUGAUGUUUCACCAAAUAGAAAUUUCAAAGUGAACAAUAUCUAUAUCUCUACGUCUACAUCUUGAGACAUCUGAGAUUAUAUUUGAGAACACAGUUUGAGAAACAUUGGAAUAGUAGGAAAAAUUCCAAUCUAGUCCUGCAUCUCUUAUGAGAAUAUUUUAUGUGCUGAUGAGAAGAAUGUGUAACCUGCAGCUGUUGGAUGGAGCAUUCUAACUCAAUGUCAAUACAAGUAGAAGCAUCUCUUUCUGUGCAUUGCAUAAAGUCAAUGGUUUAAAAAGAAAAAGAGAUAAAUAAAGACUUGAGAUAUAUUGUCUUGAGGUGCAAAGAGAUGCAGAAAAGAAAAAGACAUAAUCCCUCCAUAUUAAGAGUACAUAGUCUCAUAGUGGAUGCCACCAUGUAACCAAAUAAUUGGAAAAAAAUUGGAAUAUAUAGACAAUAUAAGGUCAAACAUCCACCAUCUGGAUUACCUACUCGAAUCUCUUGCUAACUCACCCUAUUCUCUGAGAGAGUUUCAGGGAAAGCAGUUGGAGCUCUGGAGUGCAGAGCAUUUGAGGAAAGUCCAUGUUUAUUAUAAGUAACAAAUGGGAGAACUAGUAGACCAUAAUGAGAAGAUGGAAAAGAAAAGGUUACAUAUUAAAUUGGAAAAUA